CACAAAGAAAUGGGAUAAGCCCUUCCGAGGUACAUGCAGAUGCAAAUCAGGAAAGGUUUACAAAAAUGAAAGCAGCAGUGAAAAGAAAAUGACACACAGCAUGAAAAAACUGCAGUAUAAACCAGUUUCUGGAACGCUACAGUUUUUCCAGAUAUUUACAGUUUGAACUUCAUUGUAGGUUACUCCCUGGAAUGUCAAUGGUCCCACAAUCUCAAAAGAAGCUCCUGCUUUAGAUUGGGUUUUGACAAGGAUAGAAGUACUAUGAUGCACUUGUUCAUAUUUCCAGGGUACUGUUUGAAUUCUCAACAGUCCUCCAACUAUUUAAAUGUACUUAAUAUCAUCAAUAAGAAAAUUCAAUAUGUGACUCAGCUUUUAAUUUGUGAGCAUAACAUACCAUUUGUUUGAAGAAAACUUGAAAUUUCCUAAAAGAAAAUAGAAGAUUUAGAUAAAUACUUUCAGUGCCACCUAUUGGCUGAUAAUUUUUUUCAAAGGAACAUCAGCUUCAUAAUUGGACAAAGUGAGGGAGGGCUACUUAUAGCAAUAUUUCUAAUUUGUACUGAAGGCAAAGCCAGCAUCAGAAUCUAUAAUCAUAUUUAAAGACAUUACUUCAUCUCAAAGAAUUUAGUCUUGCCACAUUUUUUUUUCUUUUUAGAAAACAACAAAUCUUGUGAGAUGUUUCAGACAUUAUGGUGGUAUCAAACUUCUAAAGCAGUUAGAGAAUAAGUAUGGUGAUGAAAGACAUAAGAAGAGGUCAAGAAUAGAUUAAAACUUGCAUUUUUAGCCUGAAAAUUGAGUUUUAUUUGUCUGAACAUAUCUAAUCAGUAUAGCCACAAUUAACUUGUCUGUAAAACUUCAAGCCAAAGAUACUCUUCACUGCAUCUUAGAUUCCAUUUCAGGAAUAUGCUGAAUUCUGUGGAAUCUAUCAGCAUUUAGACAUGUCCUUAACUUGCCACAUUCAUAAUUUUAUCAGGAACAUGAGAAAUACUAUUCAGCUGGAAUUACACACAUGGUUAAAAGUAAUCUCAUUAUUGCUUUCUAUGGCAAAGUUUGCCAUAUUGCAUAACUGAGGCUUACAUAUUUAAUAAUUUUUAAAGUGUUUAUGUUUCUUAACUCUUCUAAUUAGUUGAGUUUAUGAUUUCAGGUAAGCUAUCCAGAGGCUCUGUUUAUACAAUGUAGGCUUAUUUGUAACAUACAUAAUUAUGAAGCUUGAUAUUUCUUUGAAAAAAUGAUAAUUGAAGAUCAUAAUUAUUUCUUAGUUCUAGGAAUUCCACAUUUAAUUAUGAUUUAUACUUGUUUCCUCAGUAUUCUGAGGGUUUUUGUUUGUCUCUUGGAUAAAUUAUGUCACAGUAAAGGGAUGAAAUUAUGGAUCAUAAUUUCAAAUAACUGAACUGCUUUGAAAAUUGGUCUUGAUCAUAGUGUCCUGUGUCAGACUUAGUAUCCUAUACAGCUCUUUGUUCAUAUUUGCUGACACUUUUUUAAAGAGUGUCAGUUUAUCUCUUUGGUAAACUAGAUAUUUUAGAUCAGCUGCUUGGGAAAAGAGCAGAGCUACACCUGUGGCCAGAGAGUCCAACCACUGCAAAUGGACAAUGGCCAGUUCUGACCUGGGAGAAGGAAUUUAUCUAACUACCUUAAAGUUUGCAGUCUACUUAAGGUGAGACUUUAAGUUCCUUCUCUAAUCUCAGACAACCUCUCCAGGUUGACAACUUGGAGAGAAAUCCUUGUUAUAGGACAAUGAACCAGAACAGUAAAGUAUUUUUACAAGGCGCCUGUCCCAUAUCAGGGGCUAUAAAGGGAAUGUAGGUGACCUUAAAUUUAACACUAAAACUUUUUAGGAGACUGACAUUUUGAAAUGAAUCUUACCCUUAUUGUCAAACCUUUUGACUUUGAACAGGUCUUUUGCAAGCAUUUGCAAUUGUCUCAGUUUCUUAAAAUAAAAUCACAGAUUGUCAGGUGUAUGUUAUAAAAAUAAUCUCGGGAUAAUGUCCCCAGCUGGUGGCAGACAGGGCAGGACCUUUCUGGCUGAGGUCCCAGAGAUCAUGGAACUGGCCCUGGCUGUUGAGGUUCACCCUUUCUGGCCCAUGGGCAGUCUCCACCACUCCUGUCCUCAUAGUGCACUGACACUGUCAAUAUUUUGGCACUGAUUUAAUCAGUCCUUUCAGGUCUUUUCUACUCCUGGCAUUAAUUUUUGCUUCUCCUUUCCCCUUAUGCCCUCUCUGAAUCACACUGCCCAUUUUUGGCCCUGAAAUGCAGCUAAGCAGCCUGAAGGUUAUGAACUUUUGGUCACAGACUCAGAAGCCAUGACAGAGGCUGAGUCAACAAAAUGACUCAAGGCCUGAAACACAUUUGAAAAAAAAAUAAUCUGUCCCAUAGGAUUUGAAAUAAAUUAGGUUUUAACAAAUGACAAUAAAUCCUCAUCCAAAGCAGAAAACCCCCAGAAUGGGAGCAGUGGGUUUUUUCAGGCUAAUAUGGUGAAAAUAACAUGAACUUCAGUGCUGAACUAUAUCCAUUGGUGAGAGAAGAAUAGAAAAGUGCAAUAAUUAUUUAAUGACAGAAGAAAAUGUCUGACUCAGUGUUCCUCUGAAUCUCAGUUUACUACACUGGUAAUUUAAUUCACAUUUCCAAACCUGAUACUAUAUAGGCUGAACCAGGAAUGACCCUUAGCUGUAGAAGACUAUUUCCUGGAUAGGGGCAAAAUCAUGUGAGAGCAUAUAAUCUUGCUGAAUGUGAGAACUAGAAAAACAAGUAUGGAAGCUCUUUUGCAGUACUUCUGAUGUGAGAAGUUUACAUGUGUCACAAGAUUUUAGUGCUGUCCUAUCCAAACAAAAUUUACAUUUUAACUAGUCCUCUGGAUAAAACCAAAUGUGGACUUGGGAUGCUAUUUUUUAACAGAAAAAAAGCCACUCACCUUACAUUGCUUUUAUUGAUGAAUGUUUUGAUUAUUAAUAGAUUAAUUUUUUUAACUUAAUCGGUCUCUAAUUUCCAAAACAACACAAUUUUUCAUAUUAAAUUUUAGAGCAUAUAUAUAUCUGUAAAUAAUUUUUUUUUGAGAGUUGCCUAUGGCAUCAUCCUCACUUUGGUACUUCCCUUUUCCAAAUGAAUAGAAAUCAUGUAAGACUUAUGUUUCAGGUGGGUUCUUUAUAAUUUUUGAAUGUUUAUAUCAUUUGACUUAGAAAGUCAUUAUUCCUACCCCAUUUUCAAAUAAUUUUUAAUAAUUUUCUAAGUGAAAAAUAUGUCAUUACUAUGAUUAAUCUCAACUGUUGACAAUACACUGCACAAUUAAAUUGUCACUCUAA